GGGGCGACCUGUUGAAGGCCGAACUGUCGGGGUGAGGUUGGGCGGAAUAAAUUGUACGAAAUUUGCAACAGUAGGCGAUGACAGCUAGACGGUGAUGAUUUGAGUGAAAGUGGUGAUUAGUUGAUCAUUUACCAAAGGCGACCUCAAAAGGGCCCAUUUGCAAAACGACGACGAUCACGCAUGGCACUCUCGGAUCGUCCAUCAACAACAGGUAGAGAGGCGAAGUCGCCUUUUUCUUCACGGUGUCAGUGGAUGACACCCAAAUUAGGAAUUCCUGGUGCGGGACUCUUUCAACUUUGUUGUUGCUGUUGCUAUUGCUGUUGCGUUGGAGGGAGAUGGAUGAGCUUGAUCUUCGUGCGAUAUGCACAACAAUGGGCACUCUCUCUCCCUCUCUCUCUCUCUGGGCCCCGAAACGAACAAAAAAAGCGCCUUUGGUUGGAAUUUCAGGUAAAGAGAAGAGUGAAAUAACACAACGACACCUUGAAGAACCAACUCCGAACGCAUCGCACACAUACGUAAAUAAAUUAUCUUAACGAUCAAUGAA